CUGGCGGCGUGCUUAACACAUGCAAGUCGAACGAUGAACCACCUUCGGGUGGGGAUUAGUGGCGAACGGGUGAGUAACACGUGGGCAAUCUGCCCUGCACUCUGGGACAAGCCCUGGAAACGGGGUCUAAUACCGGAUACUGAACCGCUUGGGCAUCCAGGCGGUCCGAAAGCUCCGGCGGUGCAGGAUGAGCCCGCGGCCUAUCAGCUUGUUGGUGAGGUAACGGCUCACCAAGGCGACGACGGGUAGCCGGCCUGAGAGGGCGACCGGCCACACUGGGACUGAGACACGGCCCAGACUCCUACGGGAGGCAGCAGUGGGGAAUAUUGCACAAUGGGCGAAAGCCUGAUGCAGCGACGCCGCGUGAGGGAUGACGGCCUUCGGGUUGUAAACCUCUUUCAGCAGGGAAGAAGCGAAAGUGACGGUACCUGCAGAAGAAGCGCCGGCUAACUACGUGCCAGCAGCCGCGGUAAUACGUAGGGCGCGAGCGUUGUCCGGAAUUAUUGGGCGUAAAGAGCUCGUA
rnacentral:rRNA from 1 species